rnacentral:rRNA from 1 species
GGUCAAGCGAAUAAGCGCACACGGUGGAUGCCUUGGCGGUCAGAGGCGAUGAAGGACGUGGCAGCCUGCGAAAAGUAUCGGGGAGCUGGCAACAAGCUUUGAUCCGGUAAUGUCCGAAUGGGGAAACCCACCCGCUUGCGGGUAUCCUGCAGUGAAUACAUAGCUGCUGGAAGCGAACCUGGUGAACUGAAAUAUCUAAGUAACCAGAGGAAAAGAAAUCAACCGAGAUUCCGUAAGUAGCGACGAGCGAACGCGGACUAGCCCUUAAGCUGGAUUGGUUCUAGGAAAACGCUCUGGAAAGAGCGGCCAUAGAAGGUGAUAGCCCUGUAUCUGAAAGGGCCAUUCCAGUGAAGACGAGUAGGGCGGGGCACGUGAAACCCUGUCUGAACAUGGGGGGACCAUCCUCCAAGGCUAAAUACUACUGACCGACCGAUAGUGAACCAGUACCGUGAGGGAAAGGCGAAAAGAACCCCGGAGAGGGGAGUGAAAUAGAACCUGAAACCGUGUGCGUACAAGCAGUAGGAGCUCCGCAAGGAGUGACUGCGUACCUUUUGUAUAAUGGGUCAGCGACUUACUGUUCGUGGCAAGCUUAACCGUAUAGGGGAGGCGAAGGGAAACCGAGUCUGAUAAGGGCGCAUAGUCGCGGGCAGUAGACCCGAAACCGGGUGAUCUAGUCAUGCCCAGGGUGAAGGUGCGGUAACACGCACUGGAGGCCCGAACCCACUCCCGUUGCAAAGGUAGGGGAUGAGGUGUGAUUAGGAGUGAAAAGCUAAUCGAACCCGGAGAUAGCUGGUUCUCCUCGAAAGCUAUUUAGGUAGCGCCUCAUAUGUAUCCUCUCGGGGGUAGAGCACUGUUAUGGCUAGGGGGUCAUCGCGACUUACCAAACCAUUGCAAACUCCGAAUACCGAGACGGACUGUAUGGGAGACACACGGCGGGUGCUAACGUCCGUCGUGAAAAGGGAAACAACCCAGACCCACAGCUAAGGUCCCAAAUUCACUGCUAAGUGGAAAACCAUGUGGAAAGGCACAGACAGCCAGGAGGUUGGCUUAGAAGCAGCCACCCUUUAAAGAAAGCGUAAUAGCUCACUGGUCGAGUCGGUCUGCGGGGAAGAUUUAACGGGGCUAAGCAGUGAACCGAAGCUUGGGGUGCAUACUUUGUAUGCGCGGUAGAGGAGCGUUCCGUAAGCCGUUGAAGGUGGAUUGAGAAGUCUGCUGGAGGUAUCGGAAGUGCGAAUGCUGACAUGAGUAACGAUAAUGCGGGUGAAAAACCCGCACGCCGAAAGCCCAAGGUUUCCUUGCGCAACGUUAAUCGGCGCAGGGUGAGUCGGCCCCUAAGGCGAGGACGAAAGUCGUAGUCGAUGGGAAGCAGGUUAAUAUUCCUGCACCUCGCGUAAGUGCGAUGGAGGGACGGAGAAGGUUAGGUGUACCAGGCGUUGGUUGUCCUGGGGAAAGGCGGUAGGUUUGGAUCUUUGGCAAAUCCGGGAUCCUUUAAGACCGAGCACCGAGACGAGCCUUUAUGGCGAAGUCACUGAUACCACGCUUCCAGGAAAAGCUCCUAAGCUUCAGCUUACGCAGACCGUACCGUAAACCGACACAGGUGGGUAGGAUGAGAAUUCUCAGGCGCUUGAGAGAACUCGGGUGAAGGAACUAGGCAACAUGGCACCGUAACUUCGGGAGAAGGUGCACCCUUUUUGGUGGCUCGUGCGAGCUAUAGCUGAAGAGGGUCGCAGUAACCAGGCCGCUGCGACUGUUUAUCAAAAACACAGCACUCUGCAAACACGAAAGUGGACGUAUAGGGUGUGACGCCUGCCCGGUGCUGGAAGGUUAAUUGAUGGGGUCAGCCGCAAGGCGAAGCUCUUGAUCGAAGCCCCAGUAAACGGCGGCCGUAACUAUAACGGUCCUAAGGUAGCGAAAUUCCUUGUCGGGUAAGUUCCGACCUGCACGAAUGGCGUAACGACAGCGGCGCUGUCUCCACCCGAGACUCAGUGAAAUUGAAAUCGCUGUGAAGAUGCAGCGUUCCUGUGGCAAGACGGAAAGACCCCGUGAACCUUUACUAUAGCUUUACACUGAACGUUGAGUUCGUCUGUGUAGGAUAGGUGGGAGGCUAUGAAACCAUGGCGCUAGCUGUGGUGGAGCCAUCCUUGAAAUACCACCCUGUCGUGCUUGACGUUCUAACCUGGGCCCAUUAUCUGGGUCGGGGACCGUGUAUGGUGGGUAGUUUGACUGGGGCGGUCUCCUCCUAAAGAGUAACGGAGGAGCUCGAAGGUACGCUCAGCGCGGUCGGACAUCGCGCACUGUGUGCAAAGGCAUAAGCGUGCUUGACUGCAAGAUCGACGGAUCAAGCAGGUAGGAAACUAGGACUUAGUGAUCCGGUGGUUCUGUAUGGAAGGGCCAUCGCUCAACGGAUAAAAGGUACUCCGGGGAUAACAGGCUGAUACCGCCCAAGAGUUCAUAUCGACGGCGGUGUUUGGCACCUCGAUGUCGGCUCAUCACAUCCUGGGGCUGUAGUCGGUCCCAAGGGUAUGGCUGUUCGCCAUUUAAAGUGGUACGCGAGCUGGGUUCAGAACGUCGUGAGACAGUUCGGUCCCUAUCUGCCAUGGGCGUUGGAGAUUUGAGAGGGGCUGCUCCUAGUACGAGAGGACCGGAGUGGACGAACCUCUGGUGUUCCGGUUGUCACGCCAGUGGCAUUGCCGGGUAGCUAUGUUCGGAAGCGAUAACCGCUGAAAGCAUCUAAGCGGGAAGCGCGCCUCAAGAUGAGAUCUCCCGGGGCACAAGCCCCCUGAAGGAACCAUGUAGACUACGUGGUUGAUAGGUCAGGUGUGUAAGUACAGCAAUGUAUUGAGCUAACUGAUACUAAUGAUCCGUGCGGCUUGACCAU